rnacentral:rRNA from 1 species
UACGUAGGUGACAAGCGUUGUCCGGAUUUACUGGGCGUAAAGAGCGCGCAGGCGGUCGAUCAAGUCGAGUGUGAAAGCCCCCGGCUCAACUGGGGAGGGUCAUUCGAUACUGAUCGACUCGAAGGCAGGAGAGGGUAGUGGAAUUCCCGGUGUAGUGGUGAAAUGCGUAGAUAUCGGGAGGAACACCAGUGGCGAAGGCGACUACCUGGCCUGUUCUUGACGCUGAGGCGCGAAAGCUAGGGGAGCAACGGGAUU